UACGAAGGGUGCAAGCGUUACUCGGAAUUACUGGGCGUAAAGCGUGCGUAGGUGGUGAGUUAAGUCUGAUGUGAAAUCCCCGGGCUCAACCUGGGAAUGGCAUUGGAUACUGGCUCGCUAGAGUGCGGUAGAGGGUGGUGGAAUUCCCGGUGUAGCGGUGAAAUGCGUAGAUAUCGGAAGGAACACCAGUGGCGAAAGCGGCUUCCUGGUCCAGCACCGACGUUCAGGCACGAAAGCGUGGGGAGCAAACAGG
rnacentral:rRNA from 1 species